UACGUAGGGGGCAAGCGUUGUCCGGAAUUAUUGGGCGUAAAGCGCGUGUAGGCGGCCAGAUAAGUCCGCUGUGAAAUCUCGAGGCUCAACUUCGAGCUGUCGGUGGAAACUGUCUGGCUAGAGUCCGGAAGAGGAGAAUGGAAUUCCUGGUGUAGCGGUGAAAUGCGCAGAUAUCAGGAAGAACACCCGUGGCGAAGGCGGCUUCCUGGAUCACCCCUGACGCUGAGACGCGAAAGCGUGGGGAGCGAACGGG
rnacentral:rRNA from 1 species